GGGUCUGUAGCUCAGUUGGUUAGAGCACCGUCUUGAUAAGGCGGGGGUCGUUGGUUCGACUCCAACCAGACCCACCA
rnacentral:tRNA from 1 species